UGAAUAUAGCACGUGCUAUGGAGUUCAACUGACUUAGCUUCAAAUCCCAGCUCCACCCCUCAUCUUUUGUACAACCCUAGGCAAGACACUGAACUCCUCCCUGUUCUGCUCCCUCCUUUGUAAAAUAGAAAUAGUGACACCACCCACCUCAGAGGGCUGCUCUGGGGGGUAAAACGAGAUCAAGCACUUAGCACAGGGCCUGGCACACCUUGAGGGCUCCAUAAAAGGAGGCCCCUGCUUAUCUCUCCGUGGCCCCUGGAGAGCCCUGUCUUCUCAGCUUGGAGAACGACAGCCCGCGGCUGCCAGGGUUUUUCAAUGAUGCGAAUGUGUUAGCUUAAUGUAGCCGACAUUCAGCGUGUGCAGUCUGGUGGUUGCCCCUCAGGACCUCCCGGAAAUUGAGAUGAUGUAUCCGCCACAAAGCCGUCCUCACGAGCGAAAUUUGAGAAAUACCAGUCAGUGGCGAUCAGGGCACCCGUGUUUGGAAGCAGAGACCUGGAUAGGAAAGUGCUGGAUUUUCCACCUUCAUAUGCCAAAUGGCAGCAAGGACUCCAGGGAGGCAGCCUGCAAGAAAUGUGGGAACAAAGGGAUCUGUGCAGCACUUCACGCCUGUCUGUUCAGCUGUCCAUGUUGCCUGUCAAACUCUGGGGGUCCAUCUAGCUAAAAGGUACUCCAUAAAUGUAAAUGGCCGCCGUUAUCAUUAAGCCCCGUCUGUGUGUCUUAAACCUUCUGCACA